AACGCGAAGAACCUUACCUGGGCUUGACAUGCUGGUAGUAGAAACCUGAAAAGGCGACGAGCCCCGCAAGGGGAAGCCAGCACAGGUGCUGCAUGGCUGUCGUCAGCUCGUGCCGUGAGGUGUUGGGUUAAGUCCCGCAACGAGCGCAACCCUCGCCCUUAGUUGCCAGCGGGUAAUGCCGGGCACUCUAAGGGAACUGCCCGUGAUAAACGGGAGGAAGGUGAGGAUGACGUCAAGUCCUCAUGGCCUUUAUGCCCAGGGCCACACACGUGCUACAAUGGUCGGUACAAAGGGUCGCGAACCCGCAAGGGGGAGCCAAUCCCAAAAAACCGGCCUCAGUUCAGAUUGGGGUCUGCAAUUCGACCCCAUGAAGUCGGAAUCGCUAGUAAUCGCGGAUCAGCACGCCGCGGUGAAUACGUUCCCGGGCCUUGUA
rnacentral:rRNA from 1 species